rnacentral:rRNA from 1 species
GAUGAACGCUGACAGAAUGCUUAACACAUGCAAGUCUUUGGCGAAGCUGUGCUUGCACAGCCUAGCCAAGGCGGACGGGUGAGUAACGCGUAAGGAACUUGCCCUGCAGUCAGGGAUAACAGACGGAAACGACUGAUAAGACCUGGUAAAGUCAGGCGGACUCAUGUCCAGCCUGAUGAAAAGAGAUGCUGCAGGAGAGCCUUGCGUCCUAUUAGCUUGUUGGUGGGGUAACGGCCCACCAAGGCGAUGAUAGGUAGCCGGCCUGAGAGGGUGGACGGCCAAAAGGGGACUGAGAUACGGCACUUACUCCUACGGGAGGAAGCAGUGGGGAAGAGUGGACAAUGGGGGCAACCCUGAUACAGAAAUUCUGUGUGCACGAUGAAGGUUUUCGGAUUGUAAAGUGCUUUCAGCAGGGAAGAAAAAAAUGACGGUACCUGCAGAAGAAGCGACGGCUAAAUACGUG